ensembl:lncRNA
CCAGAUUUUGGAAAAAAACAAACCCAAACUUAAAUCUUCAGAUUAAAAUAAUAUAUAGAAUGCCAAGCAGGAUUAAAAAAAUAAUCUACACCUAGAUACGCUGGGGUAAAACGUUAAACCAUUGAGAAGGGAAAAAUGCUAAACAGAGUAGGAGAGUAAAAGGUAGAAUAUUCUCAAAAGACAGCUAGGAGACUGACAGCAGACUCUUCAUAAGUAGUUAUAUAUGUCAGAAUAAAGGUCGCUAUGCCUUCAGUCCCUAAGGCAAAGAACCACCACCCUGGAAUUCCAUACCCAACUAAAAGUAUUAUUCAGGAGUGAGGGCCAAAUAAGAAGAUUUUCAAAAAAACCCUCGCUGACCAUUGCUGAAAUAACCACUAACGUGUGUUUAUCACUAGGAAGAAAAUUGAACACGGAACAUUGGAGAGGGCUUGGGGUUACAGUAGUGUGAAACAAACUGGGGAACAUUUUGAUAAUUGCAAAUAAACGUUGGCUCAUAAACACAGCACUAAUUUGGAGGAGAGGACUAAAAACAAGAAGUUAAAAUACGGAACAAUAAGGUGGCAGAUGGCAGGAGGAAGGUCGGAACUGAACCGUUCCAAGACCUGGAGGAUAGAGAUUUUGAUGGGCUUGGGUCUUUUUUAUGUCAAGUAUACAUUUUAAAUUUCUAAGAGAAUGAUACACAUGCAUAAUUUUCAAGCUGAUGAAUGGGAAAGGAGAAUGAAGAAAUUUUAAUCCAUUUAAUAAAAGUCAGGAGAGGAGAAAAAAAGGUUGAAAAUUAAGAGAAAGAAAAAACAUGUCCCAGGAAAACAGUAAACAAAGGAAAUUCGAUUAGUGGUAUUCUUUUUUGUUUGUUUUUGUUUUUGCUGAGGAAGACUUGCCCUGAGCUAACAUCCACUGCCAAUCUUCCUCUUUUUGUAUGUGACCCACCACCACAGCAGGGCCACUGACAGUUGAGUGGUGUAGGUCCACGCCUGGGAACUGAACCCAGGCUGCUGGAGCGGAGCACACUGAACUUAACCACUAAGCCACUUGGGCUGGCCCCAGUUAGUGGUGUUCUUAUUGGAUGAAAUUAAUUUUAAGGCAAAGUGCAUUGAUGCAGAUAAAGAAGAUUACACUGAAUGGUAAGUGAAAAUAUUCACAAGUAAGGUAUAGCAAUUCUAGUCCAAUGACCUAGACUCAAAUAUAUAAGGAAAAAGUUGACAGAGCUGCAAAGAAAAAUGAAAAAAUUCACAAUUAUAGUAAGAGAUGUUAACAGAUCUCUAUCGGAAACCAAUGAAAAAGAAGAUGAAAUAUUAGUAAAACUAUACCAGACACGAAUAACGUGAUUAACAAAGAUGACUUAAUGUCAAAAUAUAUAAUCCUGGACACGACCUCUCCUCAUUUUUUUUAAAGCAUGUGGAACUUUUAUGUUUCCUGACUACAAACACCACAUAAUUGAUAUUAUGCAGAAAAUAUCCGUUGACCACAAUGCACAUUUUUUAAAAAGUAAAGGUAAAGAUCCUCUGUUCUUUGGAAACUAAAUAAAUACACUUACAAGAAGUGAUUAAAGAAGAAAUAAUAUUGGAAAUUAUGAAAUAAUUAGAAUCACAUAAUAAUCAUCGCAAUAUGUGCCAAAACAUGCGAGAUUCAGAUUUAUAUAAUAGAAAAAACAUGAAAGACUGAAAAGUGAAUGAACUAAUCAUUCAACUCUUCAAAUUAGCAAAAGAGAAAACCAAAAGAAAGAAGAAAUUAUAUGCAGAAGAAAUAAAUUGAAAAAAAAAAGAAAGAAUAAAGAAAGUGAACAAAAGCUACACAUAUUAGUAAAAAAGAACAAUACAAAGAAGAAAAUAAAAAUCACCCAUGCAUCUUAUGAUGCACAGAGGCUCCCUGUUGAUAUUUUGGUGCAAGUCCUUCCUGUCUUGUAUAGAGAUGGAGCUGGUGCUAGAGCUGUGACAAAGAUGGCAGAAGAGAAUUGCUCUACUUUUCCAUACACAAAGUUUGGAUUUUAAGGAAAAAUGGUUUGAAAGUGGCAAUGGGAGAAAGAAAGACUCCUACUCUAUUUUCUGGUUGGUGCACAUGGAUUUAGGAGAACACCAACUUGAGAGAGUUGCAGAAACAUCAUUAUCAUCAAGGGACACCGAGGUUUCCGUUGGGUGAGGAAGAGGCAAGGCUUUCAGAGAAGAGAGUGAGGAUAUAGGAGAGCUCUGGAUUAAAAAUCAGGUGUUCCAGAGAUACUGUUGAGAGGUUUAGAGAACAAGGAGGUUCCAUUUUGCUGCCUUUUACUUCUUCGCCAUCUGAAGAUAAGCAGGUUGCCACCCUGGACCACACCUCUAACAGCAUCUCUGCAGUGGCGUGCUGGGUGAGGCAGAGAACAACUCUAGGAGGCAUUGUUGUCUGCAAAGGCAAAGACUUUUGUGGGGACCGUUUGUGGGUUCAACCUUCUCCACACGCUUGUGGUGUCAUACCAAUGGGCUCUGUGUAGCCUCUUCAGGGAUCCCCAGCUGUCUUUACUGCUCACAACUCUAUUAUCUUCUGAAGUCUUGCAGCUUAUAAAAUAGCUAUUUUGGCCAAAGCCGUACAAUAAAGAAUCAUAUUUGACUCUCA